rnacentral:lncRNA from 1 species
UUACAUUUAUCAAUUUUAUUAUACAAUAUACAAAUGUAUACUAUACAACAUUAACAACAACAUUUCACAACAUAAACAUUAUACAAUACUGUUCAUAUUGCUAGAGAGACCGAUUAAGGCACUUCUCUGUAGAUCAUUGUUCGUCUGGAACAUAUAGCGGAUUGGUGUUCAUCUUUAAAAGAAAUGUGGAUUCAUUAUUUUUCGUGGAUUUUGCGCGUAUAGGUGAACCACGAAUUUAAAUGCUUAAUUACAAAUUGCAUGCAGGCUUGAGAAAAACCUCGAAAUUAAAUAUCCUCAAAAGUGUAAAUAGUAAAAUCACAAAAAUACUGAACUUAGAGGAAAAUCAAUUUGGAAAGUCCAUAAUCACAUGGCAAAAUCAAAUAACAAAACGCAUCAAAAACGAAUGGACAAGAACUGUCAUAUUCCUGACUUGGUACAGGCAUUUUCAAAUGUAGAAAAUGGUGGAUUAAACCUGUAAGUUUUUUCUUAAUCCACGAAAAUUUGUUCCCACGAAAAAUUAAUUAAUCCACAUUACAUUUACGUGUCCUUGUGACUUUUUGGGGCUAUGGAAAAAAAACCAUAGAAAAGGUAGAAAAGGUUAUUUGCAAAUCAUGAAUGAAAUGCUUGAUGCAGUCAGACAGAUGGAAGUGGAUGGGAUAUAAUUGGAAGAUUACUCUUUUUUUUAUCAAAACCCACACCAUGGUACAAUUUAUAAUACGAUAUAGUAUAUUUAGUCAUUUUCUCAUUAAAUAAUGGUCUCCUGGUUGGUUUCAUAAAAUUGAGAAUGGAAUAUGUCAAAGAGACAACAUCCCGACCAAAAAGCAAAUAUAUGUAUAAAUGUAAAGAAUGUAUAUAAAAAGGGGUGACAAAGUGUUUUGUUUCAUUUAUAUAUUACUAAUUCAUGAAAUUGCGUAUAACAAACUUUUAAGGUUUUAUUUGAUAUGAAAAUAUCAGGAGGUCACCAGAUUCUUCCUUUUUCUUAAAUUGUCUCGAUACAUGAAGUGUUGAUCACGUCAAAAUAAAUGUCACACAAUGCAAAAUCACAAUUUUUUUCUCAUCCAAUCUUAAUUGACAAGAACACAAGUUGGACAAAAAUUCUAUGAAAUUUGAAAUAUAUCCGAAUUAUGUAUACGUUGUCCUUGCAUGUUGAAAUAUAUUUGUGAUAUUUAAAACGGGGCGUUUAACAUAAGUCCAUAAUCAUUUUCAUCAUUAACUAAAAUCGAAAUAAUGGAAAAUACUAAUUGGAUGAAAAAAUAGAUAGAAAUAUUCGUGGUAAAGGCCUCUGCGUAUAUUUAAUGAAAUUAAAGUUAAAAGACUACAAUAUCCACGUAACUCUAAAACAUAUGAAUAAAAGUUAUUCAUUGCUCAUUGUCUGCUUACAUAGGCUAGCAUAGUUACUUUUCUUGUAGCAUGUAUGGGAAGGAGGAAUAAUGAGAAUUUAUGUUCAUAGACAUCCCAGAGAAUACAAAUAAAAUUGAAUUAACAAAAAAAUCAUAUCAAUUAAGUUUUUUUUAUCCUACAUUGAACUUUUGAUGCCGUCCCUAAUGCAUCUCAUGAAUGAUUUUUCCUUGGUUUUCUGUAGAACAGGGUUACUGUUUAAAAACGAGUAAAAAGCGGACUGAAAAGACAUCAAUAUACACAAAAAGGUCAAACAGCAUUCCGAGAUUGGAUAAAAAAUUUGUCAACCGACAGUAAGUAAAUAUAUAUAUAAAAAACAAA